rnacentral:rRNA from 1 species
GACGAACGCUGGCGGCGUGCUUAACACAUGCAAGUCGAACGGAAAGGCCCUGCGUUUGUGGGGUGCUCGAGUGGCGAACGGGUGAGUAACACGUGAGUAACCUGCCCUUGACUUUGGGAUAACUUCAGGAAACUGGGGCUAAUACCGGAUAGGAGCUCCUGCUGCAUGGUGGGGGGUGGAAAGUCUCGGCGGUUGGGGAUGGACGCGCGGCUGAUCAGCUUGUUGGUGGGGUAGUGGCUUACCAAGGCUUUGACGGGUAGCCGGCCUGAGAGGGUGACCGGCGACAUUGGGCCUGAGAUAGGGACCAGACUGCUACGGGAGGCAGUAGUGGGAAAUAUUGCCCAAUGGGCGGAAGCCUGAUGCAGCAACGCCGCGUGCGGGAUGACGGCCUUCGGGUUGUAAACCGCUUUCGCCUGUGACGAAGCGUGAGUGACGGUAAUGGGUAAAGAAGCACCAGCUAACUACGUG